rnacentral:miRNA from 1 species
ACCUGAUUGGUGAUGCUUUUUUGG